rnacentral:rRNA from 1 species
UGGUUCAUGACUGGGGUGAAGUCGUAACAAGGUAGCCCUAGGGGAACCUGGGGCUGGAUCACCUCCUUA